rnacentral:rRNA from 1 species
AACGAACGCUGGCGGCAGGCUUAACACAUGCAAGUCGAGCGCCCCGCAAGGGGAGCGGCAGACGGGUGAGUAACGCGUGGGUAUCUACCCAUCUCUACGGAAUAACGCAUGGAAACGUGUGCUAAUACCGUAUACGUCCUUCGGGAGAAAGAUUUAUCGGAGAUGGAUGAGCCCGCGUUGGAUUAGCUAGUUGGUGGGGUAAAGGCCUACCAAGGCGACGAUCCAUAGCUGGUCUGAGAGGAUGAUCAGCCACACUGGGACUGAGACACGGCCCAGACUCCUACGGGAGGCAGCAGUGGGGGAUAUUGGACAAUGGGCGCAAGCCUGAUCCAGCCAUGCCGCGUGAGUGAUGAAGGCCCUAGGGUUGUAAAGCUCUCUCACCGGUGAAGAUAAUGACGGUAACCGGAGAAGAAGCCCCGGCUAACUUCGUGCCAGCCGCCGCAGUAAAAC